CAGCCGCCGCGGUAAAACCAGCACCUCAAGUGGUCAGGAUGAUUAUUGGGCCUAAAGCAUCCGUAGCCGGCUCUGUAAGUUUUCGGUUAAAUCUGUACGCUCAACGUACAGGCUGCCGGGAAUACUGCAGAGCUAGGGAGUGGGAGAGGUAGACGGUACUCGGUAGGAAGGGGUAAAAUCCUUUGAUCUAUUGAUGACCACCUGUGGCGAAGGCGGUCUACCAGAACACGUCCGACGGUGAGGGAUGAAAGCUGGGGGAGCAAACCGGAUUAGAUACCCGGGUAGUCCCAGCUGUAAACUAUGCAAACUCAGUGAUGCAUUGACUUGUGGUCGAUGCAGUGCUGCAGGGAAGCCGUUAAGUUUGCCGCCUGGGAAGUACGUACGCAAGUAUGAAACUUAAAGGAAUUGGCGGGGGAGCAC
rnacentral:rRNA from 2 species